rnacentral:rRNA from 1 species
GACGAACGCUGGCGGCGUGCUUAACACAUGCAAGUCGAACGGAAAGGCCCUGCUUUUGUGGGGUGCUCGAGUGGCGAACAGGUGAGUAACACGUGAGUAACCUGCCCUUGACUUUGGGAUAACUUCAGGAAACUGGGGCUAAUACCGGAUAGGAGCUCCUGCUGCAUGGUGGGGGUUGGAAAGUUUCGGCGGUUGGGGAUGGACUCGCGGCUUAUCAGCUUGUUGGUGGGGUAGUGGCUUACCAAGGCUUUGACGGGUAGCCGGCCUGAGAGGGCGACCGGCCACAUUGGGACUGAGAUACGGCCCAGACUCCUACGGGAGGCAGCAGUGGGGAAUAUUGCACAAUGGGCGGAAGCCUGAUGCAGCAACGCCGCGUGCGGGAUGACGGCCUUCGGGUUGUAAACCGCUUUCGCCUGUGACGAAGCGUGAGUGACGGUAAUGGGUAAAGAAGCACCGGCUAACUACGUGCCAGCAGCCGCGGUGAUACGUAGGGUGCGAGCGUUGUCCGGAUUUAUUGGGCGUAAAGGGCUCGUAGGUGGUUGAUCGCGUCGGAAGUGUAAUCUUGGGGCUUAACCCUGAGCGUGCUUUCGAUACGGGUUGACUUGAGGAAGGUAGGGGAGAAUGGAAUUCCUGGUGGAGCGGUGGAAUGCGCAGAUAUCAGGAGGAACACCAGUGGCGAAGGCGGUUCUCUGGGCCUUUCCUGACGCUGAGGAGCGAAAGCGUGGGGAGCGAACAGGCUUAGAUACCCUGGUAGUCCACGCUGUAAACGGUGGGUACUAGGUGUGGGGUCCAUUCCACGGGUUCCGUGCCGUAGCUAACGCUUUAAGUACCCCGCCUGGGGAGUACGGCCGCAAGGCUAAAACUCAAAGGAAUUGACGGGGCCCCGCACAAGCGGCGGAGCAUGCGGAUUAGUUCGAUGCAACGCGUAGAACCUUACCUGGGUUUGACGUGGAUCGGGAGUGCUCAGAGAUGGGUGUGCCUCUUUUGGGGUCGGUUCACAGGUGGUGCAUGGCUGUCGUCAGCUCGUGUCGUGAGAUGUUGGGUUAAGUCCCGCAACGAGCGCAACCCUUGUUCACUGUUGCCAGCACGUUAUGGUGGGGACUCAGUGGAGACCGCCGGGGUCAACUCGGAGGAAGGUGGGGAUGACGUCAAGUCAUCAUGCCCCUUAUGUCCAGGGCUUCACGCAUGCUACAAUGGCUGGUACAGAGAGUGGCGAGCCUGUGAGGGUGAGCGAAUCUCGGAAAGCCGGUCUCAGUUCGGAUUGGGGUCUGCAACUCGACCUCAUGAAGUCGGAGUCGCUAGUAAUCGCAGAUCAGCAACGCUGCGGUGAAUACUUUCCCGGGGCU